GGGCAACCUGCCUGUAAGUUGGGGAUAACUCCGGGAAACCGGGGCUAAUACCGAAUGAUAAAGUGUGGCGCAUGCCACGCUUUUGAAAGAUGGUUUCGGCUAUCGCUUACAGAUGGGCCCGCGGUGCAUUAGCUAGUUGGUAGGGUAAUGGCCUAUCGAGGCAACGAUGCAUAGCCGACCUGAGAGGGUGAUCGGCCACACUGGGACUGAGACACGGNCCAGACUCCUACGGGAGGCAGCAGUAGGGAAUCUUCCGCAAUGGACGAAAGUCUGACGGAGCAACGCCGCGUGUAUGAAGAAGGUUUUCGGAUCGUAAAGUACUGUUGUUAGAGAAGAACAAGGAUAAGAGUAACUGCUUGUCCCUUGACGGUAUCUAACCAGAAAGCCACGGCUAACUACGUGCCAGCAGCCGCGGUAAUACGUAGGUGGCAAGCGUUGUCCGGAUUUAUUGGGCGUAAAGCGCGCGCAGGCGGUCUUUUAAGUCUGAUGUGAAAGCCCCCGGCUUAACCGGGGAGGGUCAUUGGAAACUGGAAGACUGGAGUGCAGAANAGGAGAGUGGAAUUCCACGUGUAGCGGUGAAAUGCGU
rnacentral:rRNA from 1 species